GCAGCUCAGUGGUAGAACAUCUGCUUUGCAUGUAGAAGAUCUCAGGUUCAAUCCCUGCCAAUCAGCG